rnacentral:rRNA from 1 species
UACGAAGGGGGCUAGCGUUGCUCGGAAUCACUGGGCGUAAAGGGUGCGUAGGCGGGUCUUUUAAGUCAGGGGUGAAAUCCUGGAGCUCAACUCCAGAACCGCCUUUGAUACUGAAGAUCUUGAGUUCGGGAGAGGUGAGUGGAACUGCGAGUGUAGAGGUGAAAUUCGUAGAUAUUCGCAAGAACACCAGUGGCGAAGGCGGCUCACUGGCCCGAUACUGACGCUGAGGCACGAAAGCGUGGGGAGCA